rnacentral:rRNA from 1 species
GACGUAGGGCGCGAGCGUUGUCCGGAUUUAUUGGGCGUAAAGAGCUCGUAGGCGGCUUGUCGCGUCGUCCGUGAAAACCUGCGGCUCAACUGCAGGCUGGCGGUCGAUACGGGCAGGCUGGAGUUCGGUAGGGGAGACUGGAAUUCCUGGUGUAGCGGUGAAAUGCGCAGAUAUCAGGAGGAACACCGGUGGCGAAGGCGGGUCUCUGGGCCGGUACUGACGCUGGAGACGCGAAAGCGUGGGGAGCGAACAGG